rfam:Schistosoma haematobium scaffold1040_7, whole genome shotgun sequence.
AGCCUUCUGUAUCCGUGCUGAGAUUUCGUCACACACCAGACCACAAGGGCCGAUGAGACUCCCAAGCAAGAUAAGUGAAGCG